AAGCAUAGCUCAGCUGGGAGAGCAUCUGCCUUACAAGCAGAGGGUCACAGGUUCGAUCCCUGUUGUUUCC
rnacentral:tRNA from 5 species